UAGCAUUGUUGUAAUAAUUGCAAAGGGAUGAUGAAUGUAAAGUGUCUUGAAAUUUCAAAAAUUGCCACAUGUUAAUCAUUUCUUCUAGUUCCAGUGUUCUGGUGGUGAGUGUUCUUGCUUAUGUAGCUAA